UAGUUGGUAAGGUAACGGCUUACCAAGGCGACGAUCAGUAGCCGACCUGAGAGGGUGAUCGGCCACAUUGGAACUGAGACACGGUCCAAACUCCUACGGGAGGCAGCAGUGGGGAAUAUUGCACAAUGGGCGAAAGCCUGAUGCAGCAACGCCGCGUGAGUGAUGAAGGCCUUCGGGUCGUAAAACUCUGUCCUCAAGGAAGAUAAUGACGGUACUUGAGGAGGAAGCCCCGGCUAACUACGUGCCAGCAGCCGCGGUAAUACGUAGGGGGCUAGCGUUAUCCGGAUUUACUGGGCGUAAAGGGUGCGUAGGCGGUCUUUCAAGUCAGGAGUGAAAGGCUACGGCUCAACCGUAGUAAGCUCUUGAAACUGGGAGACUUGAGUGCAGGAGAGGAGAGUGGAAUUCCUAGUGUAGCGGUGAAAUGCGUAGAUAUUAGGAGGAACACCAGUUGCGAAGGCGGCUCUCUGGACUGUAACUGACGCUGAGGCACGAAAGCGUGGGGAGCAAACAGGAUUAGAUACCCUGGUAGUCCACGCUGUAAACGAUGAGUACUAGGUGUCGGGGGUUACCCCCCUCGGUGCC
rnacentral:rRNA from 1 species